rnacentral:rRNA from 2 species
UGAAGAACGCAGCGAAAUGCGAUACCUAGUGUGAAUUGCAGAAUUCCGUGAAUCAUCGAGUUUUUGAACGCAAGUUGCGCCUGAGGCUCGUACCGAGGGCAUGCCUGUCUGAGCGUCCA